UAAGCAUAUCAAUAAGCGGAGGAAAAGAAACCAACAGGGAUUGCCCCAGUAACGGCGAGUGAAGCGGCAACAGCUCAAAUUUGAAAUCUGGCCUUCCAGCCCGAAUUGUAAUUUGUAGAGGAUGCUUUUGGUGCGGUGCCUUCUGAGUUCCCUGGAACGGGACGCCAUAGAGGGUGAGAGCCCCGUAUAGUCGGACACCAAGCCUCUGUAAAGCUCCUUCGACGAGUCGAGUAGUUUGGGAAUGCUGCUCAAAAUGGGAGGUAAAUCUCUUCUAAAGCUAAAUACCGGCUAGAGACCGAUAGCGCACAAGUAGAGUGAUCGAAAGAUGAAAAGCACUUUGAAAAGAGGGUUAAACAGCACGUGAAAUUGUUGAAAGGGAAGCGCUUGUGACCAGACUUGUGCCCGGUGAAUCAUCCAGCGUUCUCGCUGGUGCACUUUGCCGGGUUCAGGCCAGCAUCGGUUCUCGCAGGGGGAUAAAAGCCUUGGGAAUGUAGCUCCCUCGGGAGUGUUAUAGCCCGUUGCAUAAUACCCUUGUGGGGACCGAGGUUCGCGCUCCGCAAGGAUGCUGGCGUAAUGGUCAUCAGCGACCCGUCUUGAAACACGGACCAAGGAGUCAAGCAUUAGGGCGAGUGUUUGGGUGUAAAACCCGCACGCGUAAUGAAAGUGAAUGUAGGUGAGAGCUUCGGCGCAUCAUCGACCGAUCCUGAUGUAUUCGGAUGGAUUUGAGUAAGAGCCUUACCGCUUGGACCCGAAAGAUGGUGAACUAUGCUUGAAUAGGGUGAAGCCAGAGGAAACUCUGGUGGAGGCUCGCAGCGGUUCUGACGUGCAAAUCGAUCGUCAAAUUUGAGCAUGGGGGCGAAAGACUAAUCGAACCAUUGUAAUUAUAGUGGGUAACCAGUAAAACUACUAGGUGGUUAAGAGGCCGCUGAGGCGAGCCUAGUUCCAGGCGGGAGCAACACUACCAAAUUGCGGGAACCUCCUGUUCGAGGCCUAAGCUACCGCUGCUGUAUUGAAAAAUACAGUGUGCACACAGGUUAAUUGCCUGUGGGAUGGUUAUAACGCUUAAGGCUAGGGACAACCUGCAGCCAACUCCUACAGCACUGCUAAGGAGUCAGUUCACUGACUAAACGGUAGUGGGUUCAGCAUAUGCUGAGCUUAAGACAUAGUCGAAACCCCCUAGAAAUACGGGUUGAAAUGGGGUCGUUGAAAUUCGAUGACUCCAUUUUCAAAGCUAGUAGCUGGUUACCGCCGAAGUUUCCCUCAGGAUAGCAGUGUUGUUUUCAGUUUUAUGAGGUAAAGCGAAUGAUUAGGGACUCGGGGGCGCUAUUUAGCCUUCAUCCAUUCUCAAACUUUAAAUAUGUAAGAAGCCCUUGUUACUUCAUUGAACGUGGGCAUUCGAAUGUAUCAACACUAGUGGGCCAUUUUUGGUAAGCAGAACUGGCGAUGCGGGAUGAACCGAACGCGGGGGUAAGGUGCCAGAGUGGACGCUCAUCAGACACCACAAAAGGCGUUAGUACAUCUUGACAGCCGGACGGUGGCCAUGGAAGUCGGAAUCCGCUAAGGACUGUGUAACAACUCACCGGCCGAAUGUACUAGCCCUGAAAAUGGAUGGCGCUCAAGCGUCCCACCCAUC
rnacentral:rRNA from 1 species